rnacentral:rRNA from 1 species
UACGGAGGGGGCGAGCGUUAUUCGGAAUUAUUGGGCGUAAAGGGCGCGUAGGCGGCCCGGUAAGUCAAAGGUGAAAUCCCUCGGCUCAACUGAGGAGCUGCCUUUGAAACUGUCGGGCUUGAGGCCGGGAGGGGGUAGCGGAAUUCCCAGUGUAGCGGUGAAAUGCGUAGAUACUGGGAGGAACACCAGUGGCGAAGGCGGCUACCUGGACCGGUUCUGACGCUGAUGCGCGAAAGCGUGGGUAGCAAACAGG